rnacentral:rRNA from 1 species
AUGGCUCAGGAUGAACGCUGGCGGCGUGCUUAACACAUGCAAGUCAAACGCUGAAGCUCCCAGCUUGCUGGGGGUGGAUGAGUGGCGAACGGGUGAGUAUCACGUGAGUAACCUGCCCUUGACUCUGGGAUAAGCCCGGGAAACUGGGUCUAAUACUGGAUAGGACUGGCCAUCGCAUGGUGGUUGGUUGAAAGCUUUUGCGGUUUUGGAUGGACUCGCGGCCUAUCAGCUUGUUGGUGGGGUAAUGGCCUACCAAGGCUUUGACGGGUAGCCGGCCUGAGAGGGUGACCGGCCACACUGGGACUGAGACACGGCCCAGACUCCUACGGGAGGCAGCAGUGGGGGAUAUUGCACAAUGGGCGCAAGCCUGAAUGCAGCGACGCCGCGUGAGGGAUGACGGCCUUCGGGUUGUAAACCUCUUUCAGUUGGGAAGAAGCCUUUCGGGGUGACGGUACCUUCAGAAGAAGCACCGGCUAACUACGUGCCAGCCGCUGC